rnacentral:rRNA from 1 species
GAUGAACGCCGGCGGCGUGCCUAAUACAUGCAAGUCGAGCGAACGGACGAGAAGCUUGCUUCUCUGAUGUUAGCGGCGGACGGGUGAGUAACACGUGGAUAACCUACCUAUAAGACUGGGAUAACUUCGGGAAACCGUAGCUAAUACCGGAUAAUAUUUUGAACCGCAUGGUUCAAAAGUGAAAGACGGUCUUGCUGUCACUUAUAGAUGGAUCCGCGCUGCAUUAGCUAGUUGGUAAGGUAACGGCUUACCAAGGCAACGAUGCAUAGCCGACCUGAGAGGGUGAUCGGCCACACUGGAACUGAGACACGGUCCAGACUCCUACGGGAGGCAGCAGUAGGGAAUCUUCCGCAAUGGGCGAAAGCCUGACGGAGCAACGCCGCGUGAGUGAUGAAGGUCUUCGGAUCGUAAAACUCUGUUAUUAGGGAAGAACAUAUGUGUAAGUAACUGUGCACAUCUUGACGGUACCUAAUCAGAAAGCCACGGCUAACUACGU